UACGUAGGGCGCAAGCGUUUGUCCGGAAUUAUUGGGCGUAAAGAGCUCGUAGGCGGCCUGUUGCGUCCGCUGUGAAAUCCCGGGGCUCAACCCCGGGCCUGCAGUGGAUACGGGCUGGCUAGAGGCAGGCAGGGGAGAACGGAAUUCCUGGUGUAGCGGUGAAAUGCGUAGAUAUCGGGAGGAACACCUGUGGCGAAGGCGGCCCCCUGGUUGGAUACUGACGCUGAUACGCGAAAGCGUGGGGAGCAAACAGGG
rnacentral:rRNA from 1 species